AUAAUGGGUCAGCGACUUAUAUUCUGUAGCAAGGUUAACCGAAUAGGGGAGCCGAAGGGAAACCGAGUCUUAACUGGGCGUUAAGUUGCAGGGUAUAGACCCGAAACCCGGUGAUCUAGCCAUGGGCAGGUUGAAGGUUGGGUAACACUAACUGGAGGACCGAACCGACUAAUGUUGAAAAAUUAGCGGAUGACUUGUGGCUGGGGGUGAAAGGCCAAUCAAACCGGGAGAUAGCUGGUUCUCCCCGAAAGCUAUUUAGGUAGCGCCUCGUGAAUUCAUCUCCGGGGGUAGAGCACUGUUUCGGCAAGGGGGUCAUCCCGACUUACCAACCCGAUGCAAACUGCGAAUACCGGAGAAUGUUAUCACGGGAGACACACGGCGGGUGCUAACGUCCGUCGUGAAGAGGGAAACAACCCAGACCGCCAGCUAAGGUCCCAAAGUCAUGGUUAAGUGGGAAACGAUGUGGGAAGGCCCAGACAGCCAGGAUGUUGGCUUAGAAGCAGCCAUCAUUUAAAGAAAGCGUAAUAGCUCACUGGUCGAGUCGGCCUGCGCGGAAGAUGUAACGGGGCUAAACCAUGCACCGAAGCUGCGGCAGCGACACUAUGUGUUGUUGGGUAGGGGAGCGUUCUGUAAGCCUGUGAAGGUGUGCUGUGAGGCAUGCUGGAGGUAUCAGAAGUGCGAAUGCUGACAUAAGUAACGAUAAAGCGGGUGAAAAGCCCGCUCGCCGGAAGACCAAGGGUUCCUGUCCAACGUUAAUCGGGGCAGGGUGAGUCGACCCCUAAGGCGAGGCCGAAAGGCGUAGUCGAUGGGAAACAGGUUAAUAUUCCUGUACUUGGUGUUACUGCGAAGGGGGGACGGAGAAGGCUAUGUUGGCCGGGCGACGGUUGUCCCGGUUUAAGCGUGUAGGCUGGUUUUCCAGGCAAAUCCGGAAAAUCAAGGCUGAGGCGUGAUGACGAGGCACUACGGUGCUGAAGCAACAAAUGCCCUGCUUCCAGGAAAAGCCUCUAAGCAUCAGGUAACAUCAAAUCGUACCCCAAACCGACACAGGUGGUCAGGUAGAGAAUACCAAGGCGCUUGAGAGAACUCGGGUGAAGGAACUAGGCAAAAUGGUGCCGUAACUUCGGGAGAAGGCACGCUGAUAUGUAGGUGAAGCGACUUGCUCGUGGAGCUGAAAUCAGUCGAAGAUACCAGCUGGCU
rnacentral:rRNA from 1 species